rnacentral:rRNA from 1 species
UACGAAGGGGGCGAGGGUUGGUCGGAAUUACUGGGCGUAAAGGGCGCGCAGGCGGCUCUGAAAGUCAGAUGUGAAAGCCCCGGGCUUAACCUGGGAACUGCAUUUGAUACUCUAGAGCUUGAGUACGGGAGAGGAGAGUGGAAUUCCCAGUGUAGAGGUGAAAUUCGUAGAUAUUGGGAAGAACACCGGUGGCGAAGGCGGCUCUCUGGACCGUAACUGACGCUCAGGCGCGAAAGCGUGGGGAGCAAACAGG